rnacentral:rRNA from 1 species
GACGAACGCUGGCGGCGUGCUUAACACAUGCAAGUCGAACGCAGUGGCGAACGGGUGAGUAACGCGUAAUCAACCUGCCCUUCAGCGGGGGACAACAGUUGGAAACGACUGCUAAUACCGCAUACUGAAGGAGGGGAUUGCGUGUGAUUAGCUAGUUGGAGGGGUAACGGCCCACCAAGGCGAUGAUCAGUAGCCGGUCUGAGAGGGUGGACCGCCAAAUUGGGACUGGAACACGGCCCCGACUCCUACGGGAGGCAGGAGUGGGGAAUCUUCCGCAAUGGGAGAAAGUCUUACGGAGCAACGCCGCGGGGGUGAUGACGGCCUUCGGGUUGUUAAGCUCUGUUAAUCGGGACGCGGUACCGGAAUAGAAAGCCACGGCUAACUACGUGCCAGCCGCCGCGGUAAUUC